GAGAGAGAGACAUGCGCGCAUAUCAAUAAGCGGAGGAAAAGAAACUAACAAGGAUUCCCUUAGUAGCGGCGAGUGAAGCGGGAAGAGCUCAAAUUUGAAAUCUUCAAGGUUUUACCUUGACGAAUUGUAGUUUAAAGAAGUGUUUUCUGCUGAAGUUUUGGUAAAAGUUCUUUGGAAUAGGACAUCAUAGAGGGUGAGAAUCCCGUAUUUGACCAUUAUUUCCAGCUUUGUGAUACACUUUCAAAGAGUCGGAUUGUUUGGGAAUGCAGUCCAAAAUGGGUGGUAAAUUUCAUCUAAAGCUAAAUAUUGGCGAGAGACCGAUAGCGAACAAGUACCGUGAGGGAAAGAUGAAAAGAACUUUGAAAAGAGAGUUAAACAGUACGUGAAAUUGUCAAAAGGGAAGCGUUUGACACCAGUGUUGUUUUCUCGAAAAUCAAUUAAAAAUGGCUCGAUUUUGUAUUGUUGAGACCUUUAAAAGCUCACUGUACAUUUUUCGUGUCUUUUUUAAUGCACUUUUCGUUUAACAAGUCAACAUCAGUUUCUUUUGUUGUAAAAGGGUCAUUGGAAGGUGGCUUUCUUUUCGGAGAAAGUGUUUAUAGCCUUUGGCCUCUGCAAUCGAAGAGACUGAGGUCUGCAGCGUAGACUCUUCGGGGUUAGAUACAUUUGUGCUAAGUUAUAGCUUUUUAUAGACAACUUGUUGACUAUAAUUAGUCUUGUAGCUUACUCGCUUAUGCUAUUUUACCUACGCUUAGGAUGUUGAAGUCAUCGUAUCGCGC
rnacentral:rRNA from 1 species